UACAGCCAUUUCAGGUUGAAACAUUGGUUCUCGUACGAUCACCGAAGUUAAGCAAUGUCGAACAUGGUCAGUACCUAGAUUGGUGACCGCUUUGGAAUACCAGGCUCUGUAA